UGGGGAAUAUUGGACAAUGGGCGCAAGCCUGAUCCAGCAAUGCCGCGUGUGUGAAGAAGGCCUUCGGGUUGUAAAGCACUUUUAUCAGGAGCGAAACGCUGUCGGCUAAUACCCGGCGGAACUGACGGUACCUGAGGAAUAAGCACCGGCUAACUUCGUGCCAGCAGCCGCGGUAAUACGAAGGGUGCAAGCGUUAAUCGGAAUUACUGGGCGUAAAGCGUGCGUAGGCGGUUUCUUAAGUCUGCUGUGAAAUCCCCGGGCUCAACCUGGGAAUGGCAGUGGAUACUGGGAGGCUAGAGUGUGUCAGAGGGUGGUGGAAUUCCCGGUGUAGCGGUGAAAUGCGUAGAGAUCGGGAGGAACAUCAGUGGCGAAGGCGGCCACCUGGGACAACACUGACGC
rnacentral:rRNA from 1 species